rnacentral:lncRNA from 13 species
GCUCUCUCCUGUGGCAGAGAAUAUUAAAAGCAUCCUGAAAGAAUAAAUCUCUUUCUAAGAGGUUACAUGGGAAAGCAUCAUGAGGAACAAGGAAAUCUGAAUAGCAGGGAGAAUAUUUUGCAUUUUCUCUCACGUUUUUAUUUACAUCCAGGGAGAGGAGUGUUGAUGCUUCCAGUCCACACCUUUCUUGCUUCUGCAGAAAUGUAUGGGAAUGAUCCAAGCAGAAAUGUAUGGGAAUGACCCAAGCAGAAAUGUAUGGGAAUGACCCAAGUAAGGUUCAAUAUCUGAAAGGUUUCUGUGCCCAAGACACAAAGGAUGGUGAAGCUUCACAGCCAGAAAGGCUCUGGCAGCACCAGACCGGACUCCCAGUCUCAUCCCUUCAGUGGAGGGGCUUUCCCAGAGCCAGCAAGAAUGUGACAGAAGGAGAAGUUCAGGACAAUAUCAACAUCUCUGCAUUACCUGACCCCUUUGCACCUCAGCCCCCUGAACCCCCACAUGUCAAAGGCUCAGCCUUGCCCUUGCAGAAAUCCUUGGGGCUUUUCCCUUGUGGUGCCCCACAGCGUUCUAGGGCCAGAAUUCCUCAUCCGCAGGCCCUUGGCUGCCUCUGGGCACAACACAGCAACCUGACCCGGGGUUUAUUUACCUGCCAAAGGAGCUCAGGGAAGGUUGCAGCCAGUUGCAGUGCAGAUGGGUCUGGAUGGGAUGUGGCUGAUGCUGCUCCUUUCUUCCUGAGGUCUUCCAAAGGCGUGGAUGUCUGGCUGAGCAAGCAGCAAGUCUGAACCAGCAAGGAAUGCAGCUCAAGCUUUCUGGCUGCAGGCGAUGAAGAGGCUGAUAAGAAAAUGAGCGAAUGCAAGUGCCAGAGUGCCUGGUGCCCCGGGAUAAGGAUGCUGUGAGGAAGUUGUUUCCUGCAGGAAGGCUGCAGCUGAGGUUCCCUCACCAGCUCCAGUCCUUGGAACCGUGUGGUGUCUGCUGAGGGGUUUCUCACAUCAGGUUCUGCCUCUGGACCUGGCUCUUUCUGCCAACAG